rnacentral:rRNA from 1 species
CCUACGGGGGGCAGCAGUGAGGAAUAUUGGUCAAUGGGCGCGAGCCUGAACCAGCCAAGUCGCGUGAGGGGUGACGGCCCUACGGGUUGUAAACCUCUUUUGCCGGGGAGCAACGGGCGCCACGCGUGGCGCCACUGAGAGUACCCGGAGAAAAAGCAUCGGCUAACUCCGUGCCAGCAGCCGCGGUAAUACGGAGGAUGCGAGCGUUAUCCGGAUUUAUUGGGUGUAAAGGGAGCGCAGGCGGCUUGGCAAGUCUGAUGUGAAAGGCUGGGGCUCAACCCCAGGACUGCAUUGGAAACUGUUAG